rnacentral:rRNA from 1 species
GACGAACGCUGGCGGCGUGCUUAACACAUGCAAGUCGAACGGAAAGGCCCUGCUUUUGUGGGGUGCUCGAGUGGCGAACGGGUGAGUAACACGUGAGUAACCUGCCCUUGACUUUGGGAUAACUUCAGGAAACUGGGGCUAAUACCGGAUAGGAGCUCCUGCUGCAUGGUGGGGGUUGGAAAGUUUCGGCGGUUGGGGAUGGACUCGCGGCUUAUCAGCUUGUUGGUGGGGUAGUGGCUUACCAAGGCUUUGACGGGUAGCCGGCCUGAGAGGGUGACCGGCCACAUUGGGACUGAGAUACGGCCCAGACUCCUACGUGAGGCAGCAGUGGGGAAUAUUGCACAAUGGGCGGAAGCCUGAUGCAGCAACGCCGCGGUCGGGAUGACGGCCUGCGGGUUGUAAACCGCUUUCGCCUGUGACGAAGCGUGAGUGACGGUAAUGGGUAAAGAAGCACCGGCUAACUACGUG